rnacentral:lncRNA from 10 species
GUAAAUUUCUGGCUAGUCUGUAAAUUGCAAGCAUUCUCUUUGGGGCUUACAUGUCUACUUCCCUUAGCUGGGAUCAGCGACUUCUCUUGGGCCUUUCCUCCAGCAGGCUGGGUCCCCUCUCUGUACAGAAGUUAAAAGGAUGUUGUCAAGCACAGAAAGGUGGAGUCUUACUCUGUAAUCCAGGCUGGAGUGCAAUGAUGUGAUCUCAGCUCACUGCAACCUCUACCUCCCAGGUUCAAGCAAUUCUCCUGCCUCAGUCUCCCAAGUAGAUGGAAUUACAGGUGUGUGCCACCACAACCGGCUAAUUUUUUUUAUUUUUAGUAGAGGUGGGGUUUCACUAUGUUGGCCAGGCUGGUUUCGAACUCCUGACCUCAUGUGAUCCACCCGCCUCAGCCUCCCAAAGUGCUGGGAUUACAGGCGUGAGCCACUGCGCCCGGCCUAGUAAGCCCUUUUAAAGAACAGAACUGAAGUCUAUAUAUGUGUGUAUAUAUUUUAAAAUUACAUUAUUAGUUCAUAUUUACAUUUCCAAUCGAAAUUUUAGGAUUAUAAAGUUUUAAUGUAUUUAUUUGAUUCUAUCUUUUUUUUUCUCAAGUGAAAAAUCCUGGUUCCUAACAGCAUGCACAUAAUUAUUUACUUGAUUUCUCUUAUAUAUUAUAUAACAGCUUGGCCAGGCAUGAUGGCUCAUUCCUGUAAUCACAGCACUUUAGGAGGCCAAGGCAGGAGGAUCACUUGAGCCCAGGAGUUCGAGACCAGCCUGGGCAACAUAGCAAAACCCUGUCUCUAUUUUAACAAAGUAAUAGUUUCAGAAUAGCAAUGUCAAUAGUAUUAGUAGAAAUUUGAAUGCUAAAAAAACAGUUUAAGACUUUCUGCUUGUUUGAUUUUAUGGUACAUACUACCAGGGAUGUAACCUCAGAUUACUGUAUUUUAAAGUUAAUUAAAAUACUUCCUCCGUCUGAGCUUAUGCCACCAACUCGUGGAACAGUUAGGUUUAUUCGUUUCAUUUUGCCUUGCUUUAUAAAGAUAGCUUUUAAAAGCAAUUGUGUUAUAAUUGUUUAUAGUAGUACUGUAUCGUGUAACAACUACAUUCUAUAGGGUCACCCUUGUAUCCAUCAUGUAAUGAUUGUUAUACAGGUAAAUAUAUAUAUUCAACGCCCACCUGAUCCUUAUGCCAAUUCCUCUUCGGUCAUUUGUUUGUCUUUUUCUAGUAGGUUCCUUAGGAAGGGCACAGAGAACAAUACUCCAUGAGUUCUGGCAUAUUCUUAACAGUUUGUGCAUGACUUUAAACUUGACUGGGUAUAAAAUUCUUGCCUACAUUUUCUUUUCUUUUUUUUUUUUUUUUUUUGGAAGGGAGCUUUGCUCUUGUUGCCCUGGCUGGAGUGCAGUGGUGUGAUCUCAGCUCUCUGCAACCUCCGCCUCCUGGGUUCAAGCGAUUCUCCUGCCUCGGCCUUCCGAGUAGUGGGAUUACAGGUGCGCGCCACCAUGCCUGGCUAAUUUUUUGUAUUUUUAGUUGGGACCGGGUUUCACCAUGUUGGCCAGGCUGGUCUCAAACUCCUGACCUCAGGUGAUCUGCCCGCCUUGGACCCCCAAAGUGCUAGGAUUACAGACGCGAGCCACCGCGCCCGGCCUUGACUACAUUUUCUUAACUGUUUGUAAUAUACUUUAUUCCAUUGCCCUAUGGUAUAAAAUGUUGCUGUUGAGAAAUCUGUCCGUCUUAGUCUCUUUCCCUAAUGAGUGGCUUGGUUGUUUCACUUUGAUGUCUAAAGAUUUCAUUUGGUUUUUCCCUUUUCUUUCAGUUCAAUAAAUUUACUUUAAAAAAAAGUCUCAUUUUGGCCACUAUCAAUGGAUUUUCCGAGGUACCUCAUGUGCCCGUUAAAGAUGUGGAUUCAGAUCUACUUGAUAUCAGUAACAUUUUUCUGAACUAUAGCUCCAGUUUGCAUUCAUUCCCCUUGCUUUGAGUUUCUUCUUUUGAGACUCUUAUUACAUGUAUGCUAAUAUAUAAGUAAUAAUCUAUUACUCCCUCUCCAAACCAUUUUCAAAAAUUUUAAAAAAUAUGUUUUUUAUUUUUGUAGAGACAGAAUCUUGCUAUGUUGCCCAGGCUGGUGUUGAACUGCUGGCCUCAACCAAUCCUCCUGCCUCGGCCUCUCAAAGUGCUGGGAUUACAGGUGUGAGGCACCACACCUGGCUUCUCCAGCCCUUAUCUUUUUUUAAAAUUUUGUUUUAAUUUCUUAUUUUCCUCUCAUUCUAUUUUCUCUUUUUUUCUUAUGAUGUUUAUUUGUCCUUAAGCUCAUCCUACUUUGGUCUUCAUUUCUGAAAUUAUUUUUUCUUUUACUCCUAGUUCUUUUUAAAAUUCUCUUAGCUCACAUUUCAAACUUUUCUUUUGUCCAAUCAUCUCAUUUUCUUUUUUUUUCCUCUUUUAAAAUAUUUUGAGACAGGGUCUCACUGUGUCACUCAGGCUGGAGUGCAGUGGUGCAAUCAUAGCUCAUUACAGCCUUGACCUCCUGGACUCCAGCGAUCCUCCCACUUCAGCCUCCUAAGUAGCCAGGAUUACGGUAGCACACCAUCAUGCCUGGCUAAUUUUAUUUUUUGUUUUUUGUAGAGACAGGGUCUUGCUAUGUUACCUAGGCUGGUUUUGGACUUUUAGUCUCAAGCAGUCCUGCUGUCUCAGCCUCCCUAAAUGCUAAGAUUACAGGCUCAUUUUCUAAUUCUGAUUUAUGGCAUUCUUCCAUAGCUACAAUCAUU